AGCAUCCCCAGACAAGACACACACAGGUCAUGAGUGUCCCCAGCCGUGAUGUAGCGCGGGAAGGGGAAAACCCCACUGCCUGAACUGCUCACAAGCUAUCUCCUCUGCCAGACUUCCUUCAAGAGGGAGCGAGCCAUCUGCGUCUGGGCCUUCUGGCUGAGAUGGAAGCAGUCAGCACUGAAGAAGGAGCGAUCCGCGCGGCCAUCCUGUUGAAACGGACGUCCAGGAUGUUGCUCUGGCUGGAUGCAAGACCGUUCCCUGCCUGACAGAUAGAACAGGACCAUGUUUCAGUAACAUGAUGAAAUAAAACAGAAGUUCUCAAAAUUUAUUGUGUAUGUCCUUCCCUGAAUAAACAGCAGUAUAUCAGGGUCUUCCACUGCUGAAGAAUAGAUAUUAAAAAUAUGAUUUCAUUAUACUGUUAUACUACUGUCCUCUGUUCAUCUUUCCAUUCCUCUAAUGUCAUUAUCUUAUGGAGAUCUUUGGACUGUUCAUAGAGAAGGCAAAGAGUUACUGUUAUGUAAUUAAGUUUGAUUUUUUUAUUGAUUAAUGGGGUCCGUCACUGUAUGCCUAUAGUGCAUAUUUAGUUUAUGUAAGACUGAAAAAGAUUAUGGUCCUACAUUUAGGAUCUAUUCUUUCUGUUCAGCUUUAUUAUGUUGAAUUCUAUAUUAUAUUUAAGGUAUCAUGGCUUGUAUACUGAACAAAAUUACAAACGCAACACUUUUUGCCCCUAUUCAU